rnacentral:rRNA from 1 species
CCUACGGGUAGCAGCAGUGGGGAAUAUUGGGCAAUGGGCGCAAGCCUGACCCAGCAACGCCGCGUGAAGGAAGAAGGCCCUCGGGUUGUAAACUUCUUUUAACAGGGACGAGAACCGUGACGGUACCUGUUGAAUAAGCCACGGCUACAUCGGUGCCCGCAGCCGCGGUAAUGCGUAGGGGGCAAGCGUUAUCCGGCAUUACUGGGGGGAAAGAGCGUGGAGGCGGGAGAGCAAGUCAGACGUGAAAUUCCAGGGCUCAACCCUGGCACGGCUGUUGAAACUGUUCUUCUUGAGUGAUAGAGAGGCAGGCAGAAUUCCGGGUGUAGCGGUGAAAUGCGUAGAUAUACGGAGGAACACCAGUGGCGAAGGCGGCCAGCUGGACAUUAACUGACGCUGAGGCGCGAAAGCGUGGGGAGCAAACAGGAUUAGAUACCCCAGUAGUC